rnacentral:rRNA from 1 species
AAACCAACAGGGAUUGCCUCAGUAACGGCGAGUGAAGCGGCAAGAGCUCAAAUUUGAAAUCUAGUACCUUUGGUGCUCGAGUUGUAAUUUGAAGAAGGCUAUCUUGGAUUUGGCCUUUAUCUAUGUUCCUUGGAACAGGACGUCACAGAGGGUGAGAAUCCCGUGCGAUGAGGUGUCCAUUUCUAUGUAAGAUGCUUUCGAAGAGUCGAGUUGUUUGGGAAUGCAGCUCUAAGUGGGUGGUAAAUUCCAUCUAAAGCUAAAUAUUGGCGAGAGACCGAUAGCGAACAAGUACAGUGAUGGAAAGAUGAAAAGAACUUUGAAAAGAGAGUGAAAAAGUACGUGAAAUUGUUGAAAGGGAAGGGUAUUAGAUCAGACUUGGUAUUUAGUUAUCAUUGCUCCUUGUGGGUGGUGCUCUAGCUUUUUACUGGGCCAACAUCAGUUUUGGUGGCAAGAUAAUGACAUUUGAAUGUGGCUCCUCGGAGUGUUAUAGCUUUUGUUGAUAUUGCCUACCGGGACUGAGGUCUGCGGCUUUGCCUAGGAUGUUGGCGUAAUGAUCCAAUACCGCCCG